GCCUGCCCCGCCACCAUGACGGAACAAGCCAUCUCCUUCGCCACAGACUUCCUGGCAGGAGGCAUCGCCGCCGCCAUCUCCAAAAUGGCCAUGGCCCGGAUCGAGUGGGUCAAGCUGCUGCUGCAGGUCCAGCAUGCCAGGGAGCAGAUCGCUGCCGACAAGCAGUAUAAGGGCAUUGUUUACUGCAUCGUCCGCAUCCCUAAGGAGCAGGGCGUGCUGUCCUUCUGGAGGGCAACCUGGCCACCGUCAUCCUCUACUUCCCCACGCAAGCCCUCAACUUCAUCUUCAAGCAUAAGAACAAGCAGAUCUUCCUGGGAGCCGUGGACAAGCACACGCAGUUCUGGAGGUACUUUGUGGGCAACCUGGCCUCCGGCGGUGCAGCCAGCGCGACCUCCCUGUGCUUCGUGUACCCCCUGGAUUUUGCCAGAACCUGCCGGGUAACACGUGGGAAAGUCAGGCACGGAGUGUGAGUUCCGAGGCCUGGGAGACUGCCUGGCAAAGACCACCAAGUCUCACGGUGUCCGCGGCCUGUCCCAGGGCUUCAGUGUCUCCAUGCAGGGCAUCAUCAUCUACCGGGCCGCCUACUCUGCCGUGUACGAUACGGUCAAGGGUGUGCUCCCCGACCGCAAGAAUACACACAUCGUGGUGAGCUGGAUGAUUGCUCAGACCCUGACGGCAGUGGCCGGUGUGGUCUCCUACCCCUUCCACACGGUGUGGCUGCGGAUGAUGAUGCAGUCGGGGCGCAAAGGAAGUGACGUCAUGUACACGGGCACCUUCCACUGUUGGAGGAAGACCUUCAGAGACGAGGGGGGGCAAGGCCUCCUUCAAGGGUGCGUGGUCCAACGUCCUCUAGGGCAUGGGGGCGCAUUCGUGCUGGUCCUGUACGACGAGCCGAAGAAGGUCAUCUAAGGGCCUCGGCCCCCUUCACACACACCAGGGGAACCAAGAGAACCACUAGAAUCCUCAACCAUGUGGAUCAUGGGCCUUCCAAGAAAUUCCAGUCUUUUUCCCAGCCGGAUCCUGCCAGCAGACAGCCAGGGAAGGCUCUAGAAAAGGGGCGCGUUGUGAUCUAACCAUUGACACUCAAUUCCAUG